rnacentral:rRNA from 1 species
AACGAACGCUGGCGGCAUGCCUAACACAUGCAAGUCGAACGAGACCUUCGUGUCUAUUGGCGCAGGGGGGCGUAACGCCUGGUAACCUGCCUUUAGGUUCGGAAUAACUCAGAGUAAUUUGAGCUAAUACCAGAUGAUGUCUUCGGACCUAAGACUUAUUGCUUUUGGAUGGGCGCGCGUUGGAUUGGCCGGUUGGGGGUGUAAAGGCCUACCAAGGGCGCGUUCCAUAGCUGGUCUGAGAGGAUGACCAGGCACACUGGACCUGCGGCACGGCCCAGAAGCCUACGGAAGGGUGCAGUGGGGAAUAUUGGACGAUGGGCGCAGGCCUGAUACAGCCGUGCCGCGUGAGUGAUGCAGGCGUUAGGAUUGUAAAGCUCUUUUACACGAGAUGAUAAUGACGGUAUCGGGUGAAUAAGCUCCGGCUAACUCCGUG